GACGAACGCUGGCGGCGUGCUUAACACAUGCAAGUCGAACGAUGAAGCUGGAGCUUGCUCCGGUGGAUUAGUGGCGAACGGGUGAGUAACACGUGAGCAAUCUGCCCUUCACUCUGGGAUAACUGCGGGAAACUGUAGCUAAUACCGGAUACGAGACCUUAGGGCAUCCCAGGGUGUGGAAAGAAUUUCGGUCAAGGAUGAGCUCGCGGCCUAUCAGCUAGUUGGUGAGGUAAUGGCUCACCAAGGCGACGACGGGUAGCCGGCCUGAGAGGGUGACCGGCCACACUGGAACUGAGACACGGUCCAGACUCCUACGGGAGGCAGCAGUGGGGAAUAUUGCACAAUGGGCGAAAGCCUGAUGUAGCAACGCCGCGUGAGGGAUGAAGGCCUUCGGGUUGUAAACCUCUUUUAGCAGGGAAGAAGCGAAAGUGACGGUACCUGCAGAAAAAGCACCGGCUAACUACGUGCCAGCCGCCGCAGUAA
rnacentral:rRNA from 1 species